rfam:Asian citrus Psyllid, Diaphorina citri - Florida Strain, whole genome shotgun sequence.
GCCUAGUUAGCUCAGUUGGUAGUGCGUCUGCCUUGUAAGCGCUAGGCCACGGGUUCGAUUCCCGCCCGGGGCG